rnacentral:rRNA from 1 species
AAAUUGAAGAGUUUGAUCAUGGCUCAGAUUGAACGCUGGCGGCAGGCCUAACACAUGCAAGUCGAGCGGUAGCACAGAGAGCUUGCUCUCGGGUGACGAGCGGCGGACGGGUGAGUAAUGUCUGGGAAACUGCCUGAUGGAGGGGGAUAACUACUGGAAACGGUAGCUAAUACCGCAUAACGUCGCAAGACCAAAGUGGGGGACCUUCGGGCCUCAUGCCAUCAGAUGUGCCCAGAUGGGAUUAGCUAGUAGGUGGGGUAACGGCUCACCUAGGCGACGAUCCCUAGCUGGUCUGAGAGGAUGACCAGCCACACUGGAACUGAGACACGGUCCAGACUCCUACGGGAGGCAGCAGUGGGGAAUAUUGCACAAUGGGCGCAAGCCUGAUGCAGCCAUGCCGCGUGUAUGAAGAAGGCCUUCGGGUUGUAAAGUACUUUCAGCGGGGAGGAAGGCGAUAAGGUUAAUAACCUUGUCGAUUGACGUUACCCGCAGAAGAAGCACCGGCUAACUCCGUGCCAGCAGCCGCGGUAAUACGGAGGGUGCAAGCGUUAAUCGGAAUUACUGGGCGUAAAGCGCACGCAGGCGGUCUGUCAAGUCGGAUGUGAAAUCCCCGGGCUCAACCUGGGAACUGCAUUCGAAACUGGCAGGCUAGAGUCUUGUAGAGGGGGGUAGAAUUCCAGGUGUAGCGGUGAAAUGCGUAGAGAUCUGGAGGAAUACCGGUGGCGAAGGCGGCCCCCUGGACAAAGACUGACGCUCAGGUGCGAAAGCGUGGGGAGCAAACAGGAUUAGAUACCCUGGUAGUCCACGCCGUAAACGAUGUCGAUUUGGAGGUUGUGCCCUUGAGGCGUGGCUUCCGGAGCUAACGCGUUAAAUCGACCGCCUGGGGAGUACGGCCGCAAGGUUAAAACUCAAAUGAAUUGACGGGGGCCCGCACAAGCGGUGGAGCAUGUGGUUUAAUUCGAUGCAACGCGAAGAACCUUACCUGGUCUUGACAUCCACAGAACUUAGCAGAGAUGCUUUGGUGCCUUCGGGAACUGUGAGACAGGUGCUGCAUGGCUGUCGUCAGCUCGUGUUGUGAAAUGUUGGGUUAAGUCCCGCAACGAGCGCAACCCUUAUCCUUUGUUGCCAGCGGU